UCCUCCUGGUUUUUUUUUUUUUUUUUUUUUUUUUUUUAAUUUUUAUUCGAUGCACUGUAGACUCCCUCUGAAACCUUCUCGCGCGGAUCCCACCUCCUCUCUGCUCUCCUUGCCACCCCUCCCACUAAUCUCCACUGUCGCCUUCCUACCCACCAUCACCGGCGUCGGGCUUCCCCUCCAACCUCCCUCAGGUGCUUGCCUUCCUGCAAAUCUUCGAAAAAGAGACACCGACGUCCUCUCUGCUCUCCUCGCCGCUACCUCUAGUCGGUCUCCGUCGUUGCCUUCCUCCCCAUUGUCGCCGGUGUUGGCUUUCCCUCCGAUCUCCGUCAGGUGCAUGCCUUCCUUCCCAUAGAUCU
rnacentral:lncRNA from 1 species